rnacentral:rRNA from 1 species
UGAGCUCGAUGAGUAGGGCGGGACACGUGGUAUCCUGUCUGAAUAUGGGGGGCCCAUCCUCCAAGGCUAAAUACUCCUGACUGACCGAUAGUGAACCAGUACCGUGAGGGAAAGGCGAAAAGAACCCCGGCGAGGGGAGUGAAAAAGAACCUGAAACCGUGUACGUACAAGCAGUGGGAGCACGCUUAGGCGUGUGACUGCGUACCUUUUGUAUAAUGGGUCAGCGACUUAUAUUCUGUAGCAAGGUUAACCGAAUAGGGGAGCCGAAGGGAAACCGAGUCUUAACUGGGCGUUAAGUUGCAGGGUAUAGACCCGAAACCCGGUGAUCUAGCCAUGGGCAGGUUGAAGGUUGGGUAACACUAACUGGAGGACCGAACCGACUAAUGUUGAAAAAUUAGCGGAUGACUUGUGGCUGGGGGUGAAAGGCCAAUCAAACCGGGAGAUAGCUGGUUCUCCCCGAAAGCUAUUUAGGUAGCGCCUCGUGAAUUCAUCUCCGGGGGUAGAGCACUGUUUCGGCAAGGGGGUCAUCCCGACUUACCAACCCGAUGCAAACUGCGAAUACCGGAGAAUGUUAUCACGGGAGACACACGGCGGGUGCUAACGUCCGUCGUGAAGAGGGAAACAACCCAGACCGCCAGCUAAGGUCCCAAAGUCAUGGUUAAGUGGGAAACGAUGUGGGAAGGCCCAGACAGCCAGGAUGUUGGCUUAGAAGCAGCCAUCAUUUAAAGAAAGCGUAAUAGCUCACUGGUCGAGUCGGCCUGCGCGGAAGAUGUAACGGGGCUAAACCAUGCACCGAAGCUGCGGCAGCGACGCUUAUGCGUUGUUGGGUAGGGGAGCGUUCUGUAAGCCUGCGAAGGUGUGCUGUGAGGCAUGCUGGAGGUAUCAGAAGUGCGAAUGCUGACAUAAGUAACGAUAAAGCGGGUGAAAAGCCCGCUCGCCGGAAGACCAAGGGUUCCUGUCCAACGUUAAUCGGGGCAGGGUGAGUCGACCCCUAAGGCGAGGCCGAAAGGCGUAGUCGAUGGGAAACAGGUUAAUAUUCCUGUACUUGGUGUUACUGCGAAGGGGGGACGGAGAAGGCUAUGUUGGCCGGGCGACGGUUGUCCCGGUUUAAGCGUGUAGGCUGGUUUUCCAGGCAAAUCCGGAAAAUCAAGGCUGAGGCGUGAUGACGAGGCACUACGGUGCUGAAGCAACAAAUGCCCUGCUUCCAGGAAAAGCCUCUAAGCAUCAGGUAACAUCAAAUCGUACCCCAAACCGACACAGGUGGUCAGGUAGAGAAUACCAAGGCGCUUGAGAGAACUCGGGUGAAGGAACUAGGCAAAAUGGUGCCGUAACUUCGGGAGAAGGCACGCUGAUAUGUAGGUGAAGUCCCUUGCGGAUGGAGCUGAAAUCAGUCGAAGAUACCAGCUGGCUGCAACUGUUUAUUAAAAACACAGCACUGUGCAAACACGAAAGUGGACGUAUACGGUGUGACGCCUGCCCGGUGCCGGAAGGUUAAUUGAUGGGGUCAGCGCAAGCGAAGCUCUUGAUCGAAGCCCCGGUAAACGGCGGCCGUAACUAUAACGGUCCUAAGGUAGCGAAAUUCCUUGUCGGGUAAGUUCCGACCUGCACGAAUGGCGUAAUGAUGGCCAGGCUGUCUCCACCCGAGACUCAGUGAAAUUGAACUCGCUGUGAAGAUGCAGUGUACCCGCGGCAAGACGGAAAGACCCCGUGAACCUUUACUAUAGCUUGACACUGAACAUUGAGCCUUGAUGUGUAGGAUAGGUGGGAGGCUUUGAAGUGUGGACGCCAGUCUGCAUGGAGCCGGCCUUGAAAUACCACCCUUUAAUGUUUGAUGUUCUAACGUGGACCCGUGAUCCGGGUUGCGGACAGUGUCUGGUGGGUAGUUUGACUGGGGCGGUCUCCUCCUAAAGAGUAACGGAGGAGCACGAAGGUUGGCUAAUCCUGGUCGGACAUCAGGAGGUUAGUGCAAUGGCAUAAGCCAGCUUGACUGCGAGCGUGACGGCGCGAGCAGGUGCGAAAGCAGGUCAUAGUGAUCCGGUGGUUCUGAAUGGAAGGGCCAUCGCUCAACGGAUAAAAGGUACUCCGGGGAUAACAGGCUGAUACCGCCCAAGAGUUCAUAUCGACGGCGGUGUUUGGCACCUCGAUGUCGGCUCAUCACAUCCUGGGGCUGAAGUAGGUCCCAAGGGUAUGGCUGUUCGCCAUUUAAAGUGGUACGCGAGCUGGGUUUAGAACGUCGUGAGACAGUUCGGUCCCUAUCUGCCGUGGGCGCUGGAGAACUGAGGGGGGCUGCUCCUAGUACGAGAGGACCGGAGUGGACGCAUCACUGGUGUUCGGGUUGUCAUGCCAAUGGCACUGCCCGGUAGCUAAAUGCGGAAGAGAUAAGUGCUGAAAGCAUCUAAGCACGAAACUUGCCCCGAGAUGAGUUCUCCCUGACCCUUUAAGGGUCCUGAAGGAACGUUGAAGACGACGACGUUGAUAGGCCGGGUGUGUAAGCGCAGCGAUGCGUUGAGCUAACCGGUACUAAUGAACCGUGAGG